rnacentral:rRNA from 1 species
GAUGAACGCUGGCUGUGUGCCUAAUACAUGCAUGUUGAACGAAGCUGAAGUGCUUGCACUUUAGACUUAGUAGCGAAUGGGUGAGUAACACGUACUUAACCUACCCCUAAGAUUGGGACAACGUCUGGAAACGGACGCUAAUACCGAAUACGUAUUUUAAUCGCAUGAUUUAAAUAUAAAAGGAGCUUCGGCUUCACUAAGGGAUGGGAGUGCGCUACAUUAGUUAGUUGGUAGGGUAAUGGCCUACCAAGACUAUGAUGUAUAGCGGGGCCGAGAGGCUGAUCCGCCACACUGGGACUGAGAUACGGCCCAGACUCCUACGGGAGGCAGCAGUAGGGAAUUUUCCACAAUGAACGAAAGUUUGAUGGAGCGACACAGCGUGCAGGAUGAAGGUCUUCGGAUUGUAAACUGCUGUUAUAAGGGAAGAAAAACUUUGGGAGGUAAUGCCCAGAACUUGACGGUACCUUAUCAGAAAGCGACGGCUAACUAUGUGCCAGCAGCCGCGGUAAUACAUAGGUCGCAAGCGUUAUCCGGAAUUAUUGGGCGUAAAGAGUUCGUAGGUGGUCUUGUCAGUCUGAAGUUAAAGCCCGGGGCUCAACCCCGGCCCGCUUUGGAUACUGCAAGACUAGAGUAUUAGAGAGGUUAGUGGAACUCCAUGUGAAGCGGUGGAAUGCGUAGAUAUAUGGAAGAACACCAAUGGCGAAGGCAACUAACUGGCUAAUAACUGACACUGAGGAACGAAAGCGUGGGUAGCAAACAGG